rnacentral:lncRNA from 1 species
CGCCAGGAUCCGGCCGAACCAAAUAUAGUCGGGCCUGGCUAUUUUUAGCCGGGUCUCGGGCGCGAGCCCGCCGCGUGAGGGGGCGCCCUGACCCCGCCGGGAGUGCGGAGGGGGCGGGGGCGGAGUCGCCAUCUUGGACUCGGUUCGACCAGGUCUGGUGACCGGCGACGAGGGGCCGGGCUCGGCGCCGGGGGUCGGGGAAAGAAGAACUAGGUCUGGCAGUAGAUCAGAAUCUACCUGUUGGGGAAAACCAGAAAUAGGAAGAAGAGUUAUUAAUGGUUCAUUCUUGGCUGAGAAGAAUUCAGUAUGGAAUAAUUAAGAACUACUAUCAAUGCCUUUUACAAAAUGAGGUCAUUGGAUUGCAGAGUUGGCUUUCGAGAAGAUUUUGUGGCCUUUCUCAGCUGUCUAGGUGCUGUAGGUGCUGUGUUUCUAUGGCUGCAAGGAUGAAGGUAACAUGGAUGAGGGAGGCUGAUGAGGCAUGUUUUGGUUGUUAUAUAAAGCAAGGCUCACAAAUGCAGCAAUAAGGACAUUGAUUUUUUUCCCUUGGCUACUUUGCAGUGGAGAUAAAUUGCCACCAGGUGAAUGGUGGUACCUUGAUUAUUUGGCCCAUAGUCUAAAUAGCUUUAAUGGGAGACCUGUUUAGAGCAUCAAUUUUCUGUUUUAAAUAUAUCAUUUCAUUAUUGG